AGUGAACGCUGGCGGUAGGCCUAACACAUGCAAGUCGAACGGCAGCACAGUAAGAGCUUGCUCUUACGGGUGGCGAGUGGCGGACGGGUGAGGAAUACAUCGUAAUCUACUUUUUCGUGGGGGUUAACGUAGGUAAACUUACGCUAAUACCGCAUACGCCCUACGGGUGAAAGCAGGGGAUCUUCGGACCUUGCGCGAUUGAAUGAGCCGAUGUCGGAUUAGCUAGUUGGCGGGGUAAAGGCCCACCAGGGCGACGAUCGGUAGCUGGUCUGAGAGGAUGAUAGGCCGCACGGGAGGUGGGACACGGACCAGGCGCCUGCGGGAGGGAGCAGUGGGGAAUGGUGGACAGCAGGGGGGAGCCUGAUACAGCCGGACCGCGUCGGUGAAGGAGGCGUUGGGGUUGUGAAGACCUUUUGUUGGGAGAAAAAAGCAGCAGGUUAAUACCACGCUGUUCUGACGGUACCCAAAGAAGAAGCACCGGCUAACUUCGUG
rnacentral:rRNA from 1 species